GAGGGAAAGCCUGAGACCCUAAACCUCUAAUUCACAGAGAUGCUUUUGAAAUGACCACUUUGCUGUGUUCGCCCCAAAAGAAGCAAAGAGCAGGAGCAGCCCAGCUAACAGAAUUGGAACAGUCCUCUGAACAGCUACACAAAAACAGCGGUGGUUAUUCACAGCAGGACCAGCAGGACCCUCCUACACACAACAGGCUGAGGCAGAUGACUGGUAAUGGAUGAGAGAAGUGAAGAGGAGGAUUUCUUAUUCACAAACACAACACUCUGCGUCCUGCAGUGGAGUGUUCUGCAAAUUCCCUGCAAGCAGAGGUGCAGCAGCCCACCACAGAAAAUGCACUGGGCCUUACACCCACCAAAUCUGCAUGAGGGGGAAGAAGGGAGUAACCACGCAGCACAGAGAAGAAAGCUUUGCAGAAGGAGGAGGAAGAAAAGGACUCUACAAGCUGGGAACAAGAAUGCUGGGCUGGUGGUUUGAACUAGUUCCCUUGAGUUCCUUCCCAAUCUCUUACCUCUCUGUAUCCUCAUUAUUUGAUUAUUACAAGAGAAAUCUAAAGAGUGCAUUCACAGAUUCCCAAAUAAAGGUCUGAGACAACUGUGAAGAAUCAGAAGAGCAGACAAUGUUUUUUGCAACCUAUCAAUCAAGACUGACCAAGUCAAACGUUGCUUGAUGCUGGUUUUUAUAUCUCUGCUUAUUAUAUUUUUAAUGGAUGUGGUGCCCGGCAGCCUCAUUUGUGGUUUCUGUUGUGCAUGACUCCAACCAGUGAGCUUACUGAAGGCUUUUCCCAGUCCCAUUAAGGAGAAACUGUGCAGGAGAUGGAUGUGGAUGAUCAGAUAAGAAAGCAAAUGGGGCAACAUUGAUCACUACAGCAAGCCAAAGCUAUCACUUCCCUGUUGUGUUUAUUUUUUUGUAGGCAAAACAGCAAAGGAAAUUUUUAAGGGGGCAUUCAAAGAGUUAUUACUGCUAUUAAAGAGCAGUGGGCUUUGUAGUGACUGCACCCAGCUCUGAGAGGAGCUGUGGGGGGUUGAUGGGCCCAGAAUAGACCAGAGAGCAGCAGAGAUGCGCAGCACUUUCUUAUACAGUUCCACCAGGAUGCAAGUGGUGGGACAUAGCCAAAAUGAAGUGCCAGGAAAAAGGCAACCCAUGGAAAAGCUGGAUGAGUGAGGAGGAAGAAGGGGCUGCAGAGUCCAUUCCCCUAAAGCAGAGGAGUGGAGCAGCCAGUGACAGUUCAGGAGGGAGAAGCAACAAGGGACAAACAGCUUCCUUCCUCCCCAGCAUGCGGUAUGCAGUGAUGAUUGAGCUCUGAGCUGAUUUAUACUGACUGCAGCUACUGCUGUCUCACUUAUCCUGGUUCUUCACAGUGCAACCCUCUUUGCACAUUCUAGCCAUCACCCUGUUCUUAUUGAUCAUAAUUUUGCAACAGGAACAGGGUGACUUUCCUUCCCACCCACCCACACUUUUCAGGCUUCUUGUGUACAAUAAUGAUUCUUAAAUCCCUGAGCACUGAAUUUCUUUCUCUGAAAUCUUCCAAACCACGCCAGACAAUAUUAUUCAAUCUCUCUAGCCCACAAAGCUCUCUGGAAAGUCAU
rnacentral:lncRNA from 1 species